CCUACGGGUGGCAGCAGUCGGGAAUAUUGCGCAAUGGGCGAAAGCCUGAUGCAGCGACGCCGCGUGAGGGAAGAAGGUCUUUGGAUCGUUAACCUCUGUCAGCAGGGAAGCACGGUCACUGUGCUAAUCAGCAGUGAAUUGACGGUACCAGCACAGUAAGCACCGGCUCACUCCUUCCCAGCAGCCGCGGUAAUACGGAGGGUGCGAGCGUUAAUCGGAAUUACUGGGCGUAAAGCGCUCGUAGGCGGUAUGUCAAGUCAAGAGUGAAAGCCCCGGGCUCAACGUGGGAACUGCCUUUGAAACUGGCAAACUAGAGUGUGUGAGAGGAUAGUGGAAUUCCAGGUGUAGGAGUGAAAUGCGUAGAUAUCGGGAGGAACAUCAGUGGCGAAGGCGACUAUCUGGAACAUAACUGACGCUGAGGAGCGAAGGCGAGGGUAGCAAACAGGAUUAGAUACCCUAGUAGUC
rnacentral:rRNA from 1 species